CUUGAAACUACAUACCCCUUUUUGUUUCACUCUACAGGAAAAGAAACUGGAUUUAAAAAAAUUAUUAUUGCCUUGGCUGGUUUGGCUGAGCAGUUACAGCAUCAGUCUGUGGAUCAAAGGGUCACAGGUUUGAAUUGUGGUCAAAGUCACAGACCUGGAUUACAGAUCUAUAACAUUUAUAUGUGAAAAUGAAGAUAAACUUAGUUUGAGUUGCAAAGCUAUUAGUGAAGAGCCUCAUAACUAAAGAAAUUGUAUAAUCUUAAAGAGUUUUAGAUCAGAAAGAGAACUUGAGGAUAAGUAGCAGUAGCUAAACUCUGUCCUGCUGGCC